rnacentral:lncRNA from 1 species
GGUGCCUACUACUACGUGUAGGUUGCUGACGACGACCAGGAGUAGUUGAGGAGGAUCCCAGGCAGGAGGCCUGCGCCUCUUUUGAUCUGUAUCCCAGUUUGUGCUAGCCAUCUUAUGGCAACUUGUUUAACUUAUGUCUGUACUCAGAUAUUGUUGCUUCCGCUGACUCGUCUAUGAUCGAGCAUUUGUAUUCGAGCCCUCGAGGGCCCUGACUUGUAUUAUGAUGCUUGUAUGACUUAUUUUAUUUUAGAGUUGUGUUGUGAUAUCUUCCCGUGAGUCUCUGAUCUUGAUCGUACACGUUUACGUGUAUGAUUAGUGUACGGUUGAAUCGGGGGCGACACAAGUUGGUAUCAGAGCCAACUGCUUGUAGGAAUCCCCCUUCCACACUCCUUGGCCGAAGUUGAGUCUAGUCAUUGCAAAACUUUUACUAACAUGGCUAUGUGCCUUACGGGACACCCCCGCACCGGACACCCCCGCCUCCCUAUUCCUCGGUUGCGCACCGCUACAGGCACGGUUGCCACCGGACUCCCUCGCCGGUGACGCCCCCGCGCGGAUAAGGUAGCCUCGUGCCCCCUCGAGCUCCCCCUCGAUCUCAUCCACUCACCUACUCGUCCCCACGCCGUCUCCUCUCGGCCCUCCCCCAGAUCCACCUCUCCCCUUUCCCUCAGCUUCGCUGUGGAGAGGAGACCGACGCGGUCGCCACCGUGCCUCGCCCGUCCUCGCGGCCAUCGAGCCCCGUUCGCCUCGCCACCGUGCCUAUCAGCUCGGCCGCCGUCAACUACCUUGUCCCCGUCCACGAGUGCAAGUCGGGGGCAUCGCAGGCAGCGGAUCGAGCCGCCCUCCUUUCGGCACUGCUCCGGGGAUCCCCUUCGACUUCGGCGACACCUUCUGCUGCUACUAACCUUCCAGGGGCUUUAUGUAGCCGCCCGGUGAGCCUCGCCUCUCUUCCCUCUGUCCUCCUACCGUUGCCGCGCCCGUAGGUGCCGUUCCCCACAUGCCCGAGCUCGCCUCCGCCGAGCUCAUCGCCGGCCACGUUCCGGUGACCGAACGCCCGCGCAAGCGUGUCCAUCAUGUUCGCCCACACACGUGGACGCCGUACGUGCUCAACACCGCUCGUUUUGCUCGCCAUUGCGCCGUUAGCGAGCUCGCCGUGCCUCGGGUCUCCGUCGUCCAUGUCGUCGUCGGCGACUCCGGCCAUCCUAGCUCGCGUGACCACCCGCGUUGAACGCGGCGUUCUGCGCUCGUUCGAACACAAGUCACGGCGCGCGAUUUGGCGCUCUAUAGCAUAAAUCCGAGCCUCUCCGGCGAACUCGCCGCCGCGGAGAGCUCGCCGCCGCAGCUCCGGCGCCGGCCGCCGACGUGGCCGACCUGGGGCCACCCCCAGGGUCGCUGCCAGCGGGCCCCAUGGCCCCCAGUUGACCGGGUUGACCCAGUCAACUGCUGACUGGGCAGCCCAGUACCACUGACGUGUAGGCCCCACCACAUAUUUAAACUAAUUAAAAUGGUUUUAUAAUUAAAAGUAAUUAGUUUAGCUAACUAGUCACUAACAUGUGGGGCUCAACUGCUAAUUAACACCCUGUUAUUUUAAAAUAACCCACUGUUAGCCCUUUGUCUAUGACAUGCGGGACCCGCUGAUCAGUUUGACCUGGUCAGCGAGUCUGUUGACUGCUGACGUCAUUUUAUCUUUUCUGUUAAUUUAAAUAAAUCUAGAAAAUGGUUUAAUCUUUUAAAAUUCAUAGAAAACAAACCGUAACUCGGAUGAAAAUGUUUUCUACAUGAAAGUUGCUCAGAAAAAUCCAACGAAUCUGAAUGCGCGGUCCGUUUACAUGUCAAAUGCCUCUAACUAUCUGAACAUGGAACUUUCCCCCUCCGGUCAUUUGACUGACACAUGUCCGGAACCGGGAAUACAUUCCCGGUUGACUUCCCCCUUCGCCGGUAUCGUGUAGCCCCGCGGUAGAACACGUCUAGCUCUGCCUAUGGUCCUGUUAUGCACUUGCUUUCUAUGUAUUUACUGUUUCUCCCCCCCUCUUCUCUUCGGUGGACCCCGAGACCGAUGCCGCCCCUGUGAACGACUACGUCGACGACGACCCCUCCUUGCCAGAGCAACCAGGCAAGCCCCCCACUUGAUCACCAGAUAUCGCCUAUUCUCCUCUAUACUGCUUGCAUUAGAGUAGUGUAGCAUGUUGCUGCUUUCCGUUAAUCCUAUUCUGAUGCAUAGCCUGACAUUGUUGCUACAUCUGUUGAUACCUUACCUGCAAUCCUAAAUACUUAGUAUAGGAUGCUAGUUUAUCAUCAUUGGCCCUACAUUCUUGUCAGUCUGCCUUGCUAUACUAUUGGGCCGUGAUCACUCGGGAGGUGAUCACGGGUAUAUACUAUACAUACAUACAUACUAUACAGAUGGUGACUAAAGUCGGGUCAGCUCGUUGAGUACCCGCAAGUGAUUCCGAUGUGGGGGCUAGAAGGACAGGUGGCUCCAUCCCGGUAGAGGUGGGCCUGGGUUCCCGACGGCCCCCGGCUGUUACUUUGUGGCGGAGCGACAUGGCAGGUUGAGACCACCUAGGAGACAGGUGGGUCUGGCCCUGGUCGGCGUUCGCGGUUGCUUCAUAAUAACACGCUUAACGAGAUCUUGGUAUUUGAUCCGAGUCUGGCUACUGGCCUAUACGCACUAACCAACUACGCGGGAACAGUUAUGGGCACUCGACGUCGUGGUUUCAGCCAAAGCCUUCGUGACGUCAGCGACUGAGCGGCGCGCGCCGGGUUGGACUGCGUUAACGCAACUUCCUUUGUAAUGGAGGUUGCUAGGUCUGCUCACCGUCCGCGUACGCAACGUGCAGGUGUGCAAUGGGUGAUGGGCCCAGACCCCUGCACGCAUAGGAUUUAGACCGGCGUGCUGACCUCUCUGUUGUGCCUAGGUGGGGCUGCGACGUGUUGAUCUUCUGAGGCCGGGCAUGACCCAGGAAAGUGUGUCCGGCCAAAUGGGAUCGAGCGUGUUGGGUUAUGUGGUGCACCCCUGCAGGGAAGUUAAUCUAUUCGAAUAGCCGUGAUCUUCGGUAACAGGACGACUUGGAGUUGUACCUUGACCUUAUGACAACUAGAACCGGAUACUUAAUAAAACACACCCUUCCAAGUGCCAGAUACAACCCAGUGAUCGCUCUCUAACAGGGCGACGAGGAGAGGAUCGCCGGGUAGGAUUAUGCUAUGCGAUACUACUUGGAGAUGCUACUUGGAGGACUUCAGUCUACUCUCUUCUACAUGCUGCAAGACGGAGGCUGCCCGAAGCGUAGUCUUCGACAGGAUUAGCUAUCCCCCUCUUAUUCUGGCAUUCUGCAGUUCAGUCCACUGAUAUGGCCUUUACACAUAUAUCCAUGCAUAUGUAGUGUAGCUCCUUGCUUGCGAGUACUUUGAAUGAGUACUCACGGUUGCUUUUCUCCCUCUUUCCCCCCUUUCCCUUCUACCUGGUUGUCGCAACCAGAUGCUGGAGCCCUGGAGCCAGACGCCACCAUCGACGACGAUUCCUACUACACUGGAGGUGCCUACUACUAUGUGCAGGUUGCUGACGACGACCAGGAGUAGUUUAGGAGGAUCCCAGGCAGGAGGCCUGCGCCUCUUUCGAUCUGUAUCCCAGUUUGUGCUAGCCAUCUUAUGGCAACUUGUUUAACUUAUGUCUGUACUCAGAUAUUGUUGCUUCCGCUGACUCGUCUAUGAUCGAGCAUUUGUAUUCGAGCCCUCGAGGCCCCUGACUUGUAUUAUGAUGCUUGUAUGACUUAUUU